rfam:Triticum aestivum genome assembly, contig: Triticum_aestivum_CS42_TGACv1_scaffold_570747_7AS
UUUUUACUCCUUCCGUCCGGAAAUACUUAUUGGAGAAAUGUAUGUAUCUAGACAUAUUUUAGUUUUAGAUACAUCUAUUUUUAUCCAUUUCCGCGACAAGUAAUUCCGAACAGAGAAAGUAUAAU